rnacentral:rRNA from 1 species
UUCCCUCAGUAACUGCGAGUGAAGUGGGAAAAGCUCAAAUUUGAAAUCUGGCAGUCCUAAAAACUGUCCGAAUUGUAAUCUAAAGAAGUGUUAUCUGUGCUGGACCAUGUAAAAGUCUUCUGGAAUGGAGCAUCAUAGAGGGUGAGAAUCCCGUCUUUGACAUGGACUACCAGUAUGUUAUGAUACACUCUCAAAGAGUCGAGUUGUUUGGGAAUGCAGCUCAAAAUGGGUGGUAAAUGCCAUCUAAAGCUAAAUAUUGGCGAGAGACCGAUAGCGAACAAGUACCGUGAGGGAAAGAUGAAAAGAACUUUGGAAAGAGAGUUAAACAGUACGUGAAAUUGCUGAAAGGGAAACGCUUGAAGUCAGUCAUGUCAGCUAGAAAUCAAGCUUGCUUCUGCAAGGUGUACUUUCUAGUUGAUAGGUCAGCAUCAAUUUUGACUGUUGGAUAAAGUCAAUGGGAAUGUGGCAUCUUUGGAUGUGUUAUAGCCCAUUGUUGGAUACGACGGUCAGGAUUGAGGAACUCAGCAUGCCCCUUGGGGCCAGGUUUCGACCAUGUUCAUGCUUAGGAUGCUGGCGUAAUGGCUUUAAUCGACCCGUCUUGAAACACGGACCAAGGAGUCUAACAUGCCUGCGAGUGUUUGGGUGAAAAACCCAUGCGCGCAAUGAAAGUGAAAGUUGAGAUCCUUAGGGAGCAUUGACGCCCGGACCAGACCUUCUGUGACGGAUCCGCGGUAGAGCAUGUAUGUUGGGACCCGAAAGAUGGUGAACUAUGCCUGAAUAGGGUGAAGCCAGAGGAAACUCUGGUGGAGGCUCGUAGCGAUUCUGACGUGCAAAUCGAUCGUCAAAUUUGGGUAUAGGGGCGAAAGACU